GAUGAACGCUGGCGGCGUGCUUAACACAUGCAAGUCGAACGAAGCAGCUUACCUGGUUCUUCGGUUGAAAGGUUGAUGACUGAGUGGCGGGCGGGUGAGUAACGCGUGGGUUAGCUGCCCUCUACGGGGAGUGAACAGCUUGAAGCGGCGGCUAAUACCUCAUAAGCGCACGAGGAAACAUCUCCUGGUGUGGAAAACUCCGGUGGUACAGGAUGGGGCCGCGUCGGAUUAGCUGGUUGGCAGGGUCACGGACUACCAAGGCAACGAGCAGUAGCCGGUCUGAGAGGAGGAACGGUGACAUUGGAACUGAGCCACGGCUCCAACUCCAACGGGCGGCAGCGGAGGGGACUAUAGCAGAAUGGGGCAGAUCCUGAUGCACCAACUCGGGGAGAGUGAACAAGUAUUUGGGUACGCAAAGCGCUAGCAGCAGAGAAGAUAAUGACGGUACCUGAAUAAGAAGCACCGGCUAACUACGUG
rnacentral:rRNA from 1 species